GGGGGCCCGCAAGCGGUGGAGCAUGUGGUUUAAUUCGAAGCAACGCGCAAAACCUUACCAGCUUUUGACAUGUCCAGUAUGGUUUCCAGAGAUGGUUUCCUUCCCGCAAGGGGCUGGAACACAGGUGCUGCAUGGCUGUCGUCGGCUCGUGUCGUGAGAUGUUGGGUUAAGUCCCGCAACGAGCGCAACCCACGUCCUUAGUUGCCAUCAUUUAGUUGGGCACUCUAGGGAGACUGCCGGUGAUAAGCCGAGAGGAAGGUGUGGAUGACGUCAAGUCCUCAUGGCCCUUACAGGCUGGGCUACACACGUGCUACAAUGGCGGUGACAAUGGGAUGCUAAGGGGCGACCCCUCGCAAAUCUCAAAAAGCCGUCUCAGUUCGGAUUGCACUCUGCAACUCGAGUGCAUGAAGGUGGAAUCGCUAAUAAUCGUGGAUCAGCACGCCACGGUGAAUACGUUCCCGGGCCUUGUACACACC
rnacentral:rRNA from 1 species